GGAGUUUGGGCCGUGUCUCAGUCCCAAUGUGGCCGAUCACCCUCUCAGGUCGGCUACUGAUCGUUGCUUUGGUAGGCCGUUACCCCACCAACUGGCUAAUCAGACGCGGGUCCAUCUCAAACCGAUAAAUCUUUUCCCUCUGUACCAUGCGGUACUGUGGGCUUAUGCGGUAUUAGCGGUCGUUUCCAACCGUUAUCCCCCUGUUCGAGGUAGGUUACCCACGCGUUACUCACCCGUCCGCCACUAAGUAAAAAUCCGAAAACUUUUACUCCGUUCGACUUGCAUGUGUUAAGCACGCCGCCAGCGUUCAUC
rnacentral:rRNA from 1 species